ACUCUCCUAUGCAUUUCUCUCACUGAAUAAAAUCCUUAAAAUUAAAAUAAAAAAAAUAGGAGGCAGAGGAGGCCUUCCCCACACACAUCUCAGCCUGGGCCUUGUGCCUGGUCUAUACUGUGAAUGGGGGGCACAUGG
ensembl:snoRNA